AGUGAACGCUGGCGGCAGGCCUAACACAUGCAAGUCGAACGGCAACACAGGACAGCUUGCUGUUUCGCGGGCGAGUGGCGGACGGGUGAGGAAUGUAUAGGAAGCUGCCUAGUGGGGGGGGAUAACUGGUGGAAACGGACGCUAAUACCGCAUACCACCUGCGGGCGAGAGAGGGGGAGCGAAGGACCUCUUGCGAGCGGAUGUGCCCAGGUGGGAUUAGCUAGUGGGGGGGGUAGUGGCCUACCAGGGCGACGAUCCGUAGGUGGUCGGAGAGGCUGAUCAGCCACCCUGGAACUGAGACAGCGUCCAGGCUCCUACGGGAGGCAGCAGUGGGGAAUAUUGGACAAUGGGCGCAAGCCUUAUCCAGCCAUGCCGCGUGUGUGAAGAAGGCCUUCGGGUUGUAAAGCCCUUUUUUUGGGUAUGAACCGCUUUAGGCUAAUACCAUGGGUGAGUGACGGUACCCGAAGAAGAAGCACCGGCUAACUACGUG
rnacentral:rRNA from 1 species